GGUUAAGCGACUAAGCGUACACGGUGGAUGCCCUGGCAGUCAGAGGCGAUGAAGGGCGUGCUAAUCUGCGAUAAGCGCCGGUAAGGUGAUAUGAACCGUUAUAACCGGCGAUACCCGAAUGGGGAAACCCAGUGUGACUCGUCACACUAUCAUUAACUGAAUCCAUAGGUUAAUGAGGCGAACCGGGGGAACUGAAACAUCUAAGUACCCCGAGGAAAAGAAAUCAACCGAGAUUCCCCCAGUAGCGGCGAGCGAACGGGGAGGAGCCCAGAGCCUGAAUCAGCAUAUGUGUUAGUGGAAGCGUCUGGAAAGGCGCGCGAUACAGGGUGACAGCCCCGUACACAAAAGCGCAUGUGCUGUGAGCUCGAUGAGUAGGGCGGGACACGUGGUAUCCUGUCUGAAUAUGGGGGGACCAUCCUCCAAGGCUAAAUACUCCUGACUGACCGAUAGUGAACCAGUACCGUGAGGGAAAGGCGAAAAGAACCCCGGCGAGGGGAGUGAAAAAGAACCUGAAACCGUGUACGUACAAGCAGUGGGAGCCCCACCACUAAGCCAGUGGUGAACUCCACAUACGCAUCCUUUGCUGAGGAUACGGUUAACGGAGCGAAAGCGACGUUCAACCUCAAAAGAAGCAGAGGGGGCUUAGUGGUGG
rnacentral:rRNA from 1 species